rnacentral:rRNA from 1 species
AGAAUCAACGCUGGCGGCGUGCCUAACACAUGCAAGUCGAGCGAGAAAGUGGAGCAAUCCAUGAGUAAAGCGGCGCACGGGUGAGUAACACGUGACUAACCUACCCUUGAGUGGGGGAUAACCUAGAGAAAUCUGGGCUAAUACCGCAUAAUACCUUCGGGUCAAAGGAGCAAUUCGCUUAAGGAGGGGUCGCGGCCGAUUAGUUAGUUGGCGGGGUAAUGGCCCACCAGGACUGUGAUCGGUA